rnacentral:rRNA from 1 species
CCUACGGGUGUCAGCAGUGAGGAAUAUUGGUCAAUGGCCGGAAGCCUGAACCAGCCAAGUAGCGUGCAGGAUGACGGCCCUACGGGUUGUAAACCGCUUUUGUCCGGGAAUAACGCGCCUUUCGGGUCGUGCUUUGCAUGUACCUUAUGAAAAAGCACCGGCUAAUUCCGUGCCAGCAGCCGCGGUAAUACGGAAGAUCCGGGCGUUAUCCGGAUUUAUUGGGUUUAAAGGGAGCGUAGGCCGCAGGUCAAGUGUGCUGUUAAAUGUCCGGGCUCAACCCGGGCCUUGCAGCGCGAACUGGCGUGCUUGAGUCCGCGGAGGGCAGGCGGAAUGCGUCGUGUAGCGGUGAAAUGCUUAGAUAUGACGAAGAACCCCGAUCGCGAAGGCAGCUUGCUGCAGCGGAACUGACGCUGAUGCUCGAAAGCGCGGGUAUCGAACAGGAUUAGAUACCCCUGUAGUC